CCUACGGGAGGCAGCAGUGGGGAAUAUUGGUCAAUGGACGCAAGUCUGAACCAGCCAUGCCGCGUGCAGGAAGACGGCUCUAUGAGUUGUAAACUGCUUUUGUACGAGGGUAAACGCAGAUACGCGUAUCUGUCUGAAAGUAUCGUACGAAUAAGGAUCGGCUAACUACGUGCCAGCAGCCGCGGUAAUACGGAGGAUUCAAGCGUUAUCCGGAUUUAUUGGGUUUAAAGGGUGCGUAGGCGGUCGGAUAAGUUAGAGGUGAAAUCCCGAGGCUCAACUUCGGAAUUGCAUCUGAUACUGUUCGGCUUGAGAGUAGUUGCGGUAGGCGGAAUGUAUGGUGUAGCGGUGAAAUGCUUAGAGAUCAUACAGAACACCGAUUGCGAAGGCAGCUUACCAAGCUACUUCUGACGUUGAGGCACGAAAGCGUGGGGAGCAAACAGGAUUAGAUACCCGGGUAGUC
rnacentral:rRNA from 1 species